UAAUGACCGCAGUGUUCUCUCUUGGUGAGGCUGUAAUUUUUGUGUGACCGCAAAGGAAGGAGCACAGUGUGAUGCUUGUAAGGUAGCUGCCAACCUUUCCCACAUGGGCACCCCCUCAACAAAACGUAAUAGUAAUAGUGACAGUAUGUGGCAAUUGAUUUUCUGAAUAUUGUUAAUAGAGUGUACAAUAUCCUGCCAGUGACUGUUUGAUUUGGCUUUAUGUAACUUCUGUAUCUUGUCUGCCACCUUGUGCACAGUCCUUUGUCCUGCUGUCUGUCAUCUCUCACUCCCUCUAGAUUCUUCUCUGUCUGUGCUGCUCACCUCCUCCUCUAACAGCUUUUGUUAUUCCUGUUCUUUCACACUGUCUCGGAGCAGUAAAUCCUAUCCGACUGGCAAGCUCCAGGACGUCCUAACCCUGACUUGAGAUAAAUCAUGCUGCACAAAUCCUGCAGAAAACCUCAGAGAUACACCCUUUCCAAGUUUGAACACCAAUUAAGCAGCGCAUUAACUCCAGAAAAGAUAAGUCUAACCCUAAAUAUUAUUUAUGUCACUAUUUGAUAUGGUUUGUUUACAUAUGAUGGUUUUUUUUUUUGUGCAUUUACGGUCUAUGUUGUACAGGGACACAUUGGUUGUUGUAAUUUCCUCAUGAAGACAUCGUGAGGCAGGAAAAGCUUAAUACUCCACUUAAAGGUUUAAGAGAUAUUGCAUUUCCCAUUUGAAUAUUUCAUGUUUGUUCCAACAGAAUUGUUCGUUCUUUGUGUGCAGCAAGCAUUUAUUUUAUUGUGUUUUAGGUUUUGUUGUGCAUAUUUACAGUUUGAUUUGGUCUAAGGAUUGUGUGGUAUGAAUGCUUACUUGUGGAUUUAAUUCAAGUUUGACUCAAGUGUGAUUAAGAUGAAUAAAUCUAUUGGUAACAGAAGAAAUAUAAUAAUAUAAGUAAUAGUUAGGUAUACAAGAUCAAACUCCCACCUGUGUUUGUGCAGUAGGAUGUUGAGCAGGACUGCAGUGCAGACAUCUGCAAAACCUGUUAGCCUCUUAUCAUGGGAUCAAGACGAUAAGCAGAAUCUAAGUCUUAAAUCUGUCCUACUGCACGUCUCAUUGUGUUUGUGAUAGCAAGUGUCACGGACUGUUAAGUUUUAUCACCGCUGGGUCAAUGUUUUUUGAAUUACUGUAUGCUAUAGUUGGCCUUGGACAAAGUGGCAGCUUAGCUGUUUCAACAUCAAAUACUGGUAGUUCUGAACAAAAAACAUUUCCUCAGAACAAAUAUCUAAACAAGUGAUGUAACACAGUUGCUGAGGUAUUGGCUUAAGUACUGGUGAGUUUGGUCCCGCGCUCAAAGGAACAAGAAAAAUAUGAUGAUUCAUCAUUUCAUUUCGCAGUAGCAUCAUGUCAUGUGUUUUGUUUCAUAUCUGUUUCAGUGAAAGCCUAAUGGCAUCUGCAUUUUGAUGCUAGCAUAAGAGGGACAAUGACACGCCAGAGAUGACAGAGGUCCUGAGCGAUGCUGCUUUCAGUGAAUUGGCCCAGAUAUCAUUUCAGAAAACACACAAGGGGAGAAAUACCGCCAUGUCUGAAUCUGAUAUCUUCUUCUAGAAUAUGAAUGGCAGGAGGUAUCAUUCUUGCCAAUUAUUGUUCUUUUUUUAUAUGUUUUAUAUGCACCUCUUGCUGGCUGUCACAGAAUAACAGCAAGGGAAGUUUUUUGUUUUUUUAUCUGGGUGCUUCUCUGAAUUUCCUACUAAUACAAGCUAAUACAAGAGGGUUGCAAAGUAGGUCCAUGAACAAAGACAGACCUAGAAAUACACCAAACCACUCGCUAAAAAAAAAAAAUGGAUCAGAUAACAGCACAUUAAAUUCCAAACUGAUGAUUCUCAUGGUAAAAUCGGGCACGGCAUGGAAGGAUUGAAACUGUUUUGCCAACAUUUCCACACUGUUGUGUCUGUCUGUUUGUUAUGUAAGCUCUGGUUCAGACAGGAGUCGGUCUUGGAAUGGGAAGGAGCACUCGGCCGUUACAGGUUACACCUACAGAUUAUUAAUGGUUGGAAUAUCAGAACAUUCUCUGACUGAUUGCACCAACCAGAGAUGACCUUCAUCACCCAUAUGUUACCUGGGUGUACCCUGCAUGAGGGACGGUGGUGUGCUUUCUUCCAUUUCAUGUCAAAUCCAAAAUACUGGAAAUGGCUGGAUUCUGAUUCAUUAAAACAUCACCUUCAAACUGCAUAACACAUAAUAUUUAACUGCUAAAAGGGCAUUCUGAUGCAUGCAUUAUGUGGCAUAUACAUUGUCUUAGUUGCUUCCGAUUGAUGCAUGUAGGAAAGUAUCUUUUUGAAACUGAAAACUGAGCCCUAAACACCAGACCAAAAUUUGCUUUAAAUUGGCAAUACUUUGAGAGAUAUGUCUUUCAUGUGUGCACUUACAGCAAUUUAUUUCAGAUGCCUAAAAUGAACCUCAAAGUCAUUAUAAGCUAAAAUAAAAAGCUACAGCAGUUGUUUUAACUUUACAUUCUGGCCCAAAAAUCAGCUCAUCAGCAUUCAAAAAGGAAAAGUCAACAUUUUGGAACACGAUUAUAUAAUAUGUGCACUGUUCUCUACUUCCCACACACCAUGACCUGACAUAAAAGAAUAUGCAACGCUCAAAUUAUACUAAACAAGCCUGAAGGAGAUGUAUUAGUGCAAACAUUAUAGUUGGGCAGAUCGAGCGUGUGGAACUCGCAGAUGGAAAUGUAUCGGAGAGAAAAUCAUCAUGCGCCUCGCAGAUGAUUUUGAUUUCCUGUCGAAUUCCUGUAUACGUGAGCCUUUAGCGGCAUGGAAAAGGAUUAAUAAGUCAACUGUUCCUUGAAAAGCACUCAAAAUUAAAAAGGUGUCUCCCCUUUUUAUAAAAAAUUAAAAUUCUGUUUAGUAUUGGUGUUCUUUUUUGGAAUCCAAUUAAUCUGUACUAGAAACCCCUAAUCUCUUGACUUGUUUAGGGUGACUUUUGCUUUUGUCAGUCUUCCUGCCUAAGCCGAGCUCUUCCGCAACAAAACGUGCCCCUACUGAUGCAAGAAAGACCUCCCGACCCCAACCGACUUCCACUCUUUUGGCUCACAAGUACUGAAAGGUUGUGACCUAAAGUGUUACAUAAAGCAAAACAGGCUCCACUUCCCCUUAUAUGACAGUGUGUGUGCAGGUUAGUGAUGAAUAGGUUUUUGUGUGCAUUGCAGACCCCUGAAGGACUUUUGUCAGGGAUGUGGAUGACAGCCUUGAUGGAAUCUGUGGAUGUGUGCGAUGUGCAUGAGUGUAUGCACAAGAGAGGGGGACAGGAGGAAUGGAUGAACAAAGGGUGGGGAAAGAGAGUUUCAGCAUUCUUCAGCAUCAUGCCAAGAAAGAGGCCAAUGCCACUCUUUCCUGGCGUCGGCCUCACUUGUUCCUAAACCCAGCAUCAGAGCCCUAUUACUCUGGCCCAGGAGCAGCUGCAUGUAUUCAGAGAACUGUUGCUGAACCUAAUCCCAGAAUGUGUAAAAACACCAAAGUAUGCAAACAUAAUGAUGAUCUGUGGCUCAGUCCUCCUCCAUGAUGCCAUAUUGGGAGGAAUGCAGAAAGAGGUCAUUUAAUGUGACUGGUGAUAAGUGCUCUUCUUAAUGGCACAGUAAGAUGGCAGGGGACCGAGCCAUAACGUCCUGUCAGACACGACCGACCUGGUCCGUUCCAUAAUACAACUUCUUCUAUUAAAACACAGGGACACAAAGGCAGAUGUGAGGUCUUGAACAAGUUGAUGUUCAUUUCAGUCUGCCAUAGUAAAAUCACAGACUCACUGAAACUUGGCACAUAUCUGCAUGCUCAUUUUUCUCCUUUUUGUCUGGCAGGCUCUUGUCUGCCAGAAAGGACAAAAAAAAAGGAGCUCUGCCAGUGGGACAGGAUUUGUGUUCAGUCCAGCAAGCCUCUCCUCUCUGCUGCUGAAGCUAUAGUAAGAACUGACUUGGAUUUAAGACACAGCCACAGUGUUACAGAUGGAGGUAUGCAAGUCCACGCCACUGCAUUACUGAAAAGAACACUUGAAUAAUGACUGAUCAUUACUCUGUUGUCGGUACACUUGGGAAGAAGCUCUCCACGCUGAAGGGUGCAAAUUAAUCUCAGCCCUGUCCUGUGGCAACAUCAUUGGUUGCUGCAGAGAUCUUUGACACUUUGACAUUCUUGUGACAUCUUUUGUGCUGCCGGUAAGUUCUUUGUGCUUUGUAUUUUGACUGCUCACUGACGUGAAGUGAUAAACGUUGAAUGUGUCAUCGCUGCAGGCUCCUCAUCCCUCUUCACGCCAGAAUGACGGUGUUUAGCGGCUGUUAAGUACUGACUGACUGCCUGGGGUGAAGGUGUGCAAGAGACUCAUUCCCGCCACGCGUAGCUCUCUAAGUUUCAAAGUAAAUGAACACAUCUCCUCUGGUUUUAUCAUGGGGACAUCACAGAUCCCGUCCCCCCCACCUCUCAAGUGGUCUCUGGCUCGGCUGGAAACAUUAAACAAGACUUAUGAGUUCAAAUUCUGCUCUCUGCACAUUUCUGUGACCUCUGUGAACAUUUACAUAACUAGUUUGCUGGCCACUGCCACUGCCUCAUACUGAUAUUCAGUCCCAAAGUUGUCCUGGCGUCCUUCCUCAGGCUAUGCUGAACAUUUUAUUCUGUUAAGAAGUGGCAAACGCCAAUGAUGGCAGCUCAGCAGACUGACCACCCAGGAAGGUUGUCCUGGCUGGAGCUGGAGCUACAGUCCUCAACCACCAGCCUCAACCUCAACCAAGUUUCUUCACCCCUUGCUCUUCAUUCUACAGUAUCAUAACAACACACCCUUACUAUCAUAAAUAAAUCAAGAACAAAUUGUUCCUGCUUGAAUAAUGCAGCUCCACAGCAAGAACAAUGUUGCCUUGAAUGGUUUCAAAUUAAUGAGCAUUGAAACAACUGUUAUGCAACCUAACAGAUGGAAAAAUAAAGUGUGUGGAAGUUCUCCAAA